GAAACGAAACGAAAUGAAAAGAAAAACAACAAAAAGCAACGGCAAAAACAAAAGGCCAACGACAAACAAAGACAAACCGAUAAACGUUGAACGUCGAACGUCAAACGUCGUUGUCGUUGUCGUUGGAUGUCGCAUAUUUUAGGCAUUUGUUUCUGUUUUUGCUCUCUAUCGUUUCUUUCGAUCCAACACCUCCCCUCCGCUCCCUCUCUGCUGCUUCUCAGCUCGUGUCUGGUGCAAAAAUUCGAUUUAAUUAAAUCAUUUUUAUUAUUAUUUUGUGAUGGCUACUAAUUUUUAAUUCAAAUGGAAUGCAAAAUACGAAAUUCAAUUCAAAGAACUUGUCAUUUGGUGCUUUAAACCCUGGGAAUGCGAAACGUAUGCAUAUCUAGCGAUUCCUUUUGCGAAUUGUGUGGCAACUCCAGUUCAAUCUUUUUGCAACACUGCACUGCAUCGAUUAAGUGCACAAAAUGUGCCCGAUAAAUCUGUCAAAGAGCAGGUGGGAAAAAUGUAAUGGAAGCUUCUCAUUCGAUGGAAUCUGGGAAGGCGAUCUCUUUGAUUCUCUAAAAAUGAUAACUAAUAUUUUCAUUAACAGUGGAAUAAGGGGGGGAUCUGAUGUGGAUUGUAGAUACAUAUUUGGGCAUAUAUUUUGUGAAUAAAAAUACAUGAAAAUUGUCUUUAAAGUGGGGCUUGAUCCGAUCGAAUAGAUGAUGGAAAUUUUUGACUAUUUGGCUUUCCCGAUGACCUACUUGAUUGAAGCAGAUAUCUAUGGUUAUUCUGUGGGAUUUGUUGCUAGUAUUUAACAUCUUCAAUAGUAUUCGAUUUUCGAUUUUUUUUUUGUUGUUUUUUCUUCCGUUCUUGCGGUUUGUUUGCUGUUUCAUGCUUUUGCCUUGCCCCUCUUCUCCUCUCUUCUCUUCUCUUCUGUCUUCUCCUUUACUUUUGUUUCUCUAUUUUGCUCUUUCUGUGGCUGUUGUUUUUUUGUGCCGAUUGCUUUUGCUAUUUUGUGUGUGUGUGUUUGGUUUUUUUUUUCUUUCUGUCGAGGCGAUGGCGACAACAGCUAAACAAUUUACAAUUAUAUAUAUUUGCACAAAUCAAAUGGAAAAAUCACCGCAAAGCGCAAACAGCAGAUAGCCAGAAAAAAAAAACCAAAUAAAAGUGCAAUACGAAAAACAAAAAAAAAAAAUCUCCCAACUAAAAUCUGAAGAGGAAAAGGAGGCCACAAAGCGAGAGAGAAAGAGAAACAGAUACAAUACAGAGACAGAAAGGGAGAGAGAGAAAAAACAACUCUACUCAAACGAGUGAAAAUUUGUGUUUCGAGUUAAUUGAUUUUGUAUUUUGUUGUUGUUUGAAAAUUGAAAAUAUGCAAAAUGUCGAACUUAAAGAGCGAGCAACGUGACGUGUCGUUGUUGUGUGUCGCUCGACGUCGGACAAUUUUUCGCCAACUUCCUACUAAAAUACAAAAAAUCGAAAAAGCAGCAAAAGCAAGAGCCAAAUAAGCAGCAGAAGCAAGUGCUAAAGUAGCCGC
rnacentral:sRNA from 1 species